rnacentral:rRNA from 1 species
AUCGAACGCUGGCGGCAGGCCUAACACAUGCAAGUCGGGCGGAAGAAGGGAGCUUGCUCCUGGAUCCAGCGGCGGAAGGGUGAGUGAUGCCUAGGAAUCUGCUGGGCAGUGGGGGAUAAUGUCUGGAGAAGGGCGGUAAUACUGCAUACGAGCUGCGGGAGAAGGAGGGGGGUCUUUGGAACGUACGCUCUGAUGGGAGUGUAGGUCGGAUUAGCUAGUUGGUGGGUUGAGGGCCUACCUAGGCGACGAUCCGUAACUGGUCUGAGUGGAGGAUCAGUCACACUGGAACGUAGACACGGACCAGGCUCCUACGGGAGGCAGCAGUGGGGAAUAUUGGGCAGUGGGCGAAAGCCUGAUCCAGCCAGGCGGCGUGUGUGGAGAAGGUCUUCGGAUUGUAAAGCACGUUUAGUUGGGAUGAACGGCAUUAGGUUAAUACCUUGCUGUUUUGACGUUACCAACAGAAUAAGCACCGGCUAACUUCGUG